GGCGCGAAAUCUGACAGCGAGAGGAACGGCCGGAUACAGGAGACGGGAAGAAACAAGCCGAUUAUGUUCGCGUUAAUUAAGUGGUUGGAAGAUGUAAAAUUCUCAAUUCUGCCAACUGAACAUAUACGAGAUUUUAAUGAGGAUGAAUAAUUAGCCGGCAUGGAGGAAACGGACCUUUAUUUCGUGGAGUGGCGACAAGAAGCCAAGGCGGGUGGCCAGUCUAAGAAGCCUCCAUCAUCAAGCUAGCAGAAAUCCUACCUCUCCUUCUGGCUACAGAGUACUUACCAAGCCCAUGAAAUCGAAUGCAGAUCUUCCUAAUGUGAGAUUUACAUAAAUAUGUCAAAGUCUCAACCUCAUGCUGCCCUCCCCCAUCCUCCUAAACCUGUGGAUACAAAUGCAGAUUUCCUUAAUGUUCAAUGGUGCGUGUUCUUCUAAUGGCCGCCUUCCCACUGGAGGUUUUGAUCCACAGCAAUUUAAAAGGAGGACAGAGCAAAACGGACAUCGGCGCAGAGUGAAGAACUGCCCUUGAUAAGGACACUAUGACAGCCAUAUAUAGUAAGUGAAGACUUUCUGUGUAUCUAAAAUUGCAUACAGCACAAGUAACUUACUUUGCAACCAUUAAAAUAGGUUGUAAAGUAAGUUACCAAUACAAAUAGGUGAUGAUGCAUUGUAGUGGUUGGUCUCAGACAAAGAAGGUCAACAGAUUUAUGAAUGCUGGAAGGUAAGGAGAGACGACCAAAAGGGGUGUUAGCAUUACUGUAAUGUGAA